AACGAACGCUGGCGGCAUGCCUAACACAUGCAAGUCGAACGAGACCUUCGAGUCUAGUGGCGCACGGGUGCGUAACGCGUGGGAACCUGCCCUUAGGUUCGGAAUAACUCCCCGAAAGGGGUGCUAAUACCGGAUAAUGUCUUCGGACCAAAGAUUUAUCGCCUUUGGAUGGGCCCGCGUUGGAUUAGCUAGUUGGUAGGGUAAAAGCCUACCAAGGCGACGAUCCAUAGCUGGUCUGAGAGGAUGAUCAGCCACACUGGGACUGAGACACGGCCCAGACUCCUACGGGAGGCAGCAGUGGGGAAUAUUGGACAAUGGGCGAAAGCCUGAUCCAGCAAUGCCGCGUGAGUGAUGAAGGCCUUAGGGUUGUAAAGCUCUUUUACCCGGGAUGAUAAUGACAGUAUCGGGAGAAUAAGCUCCGGCUAACUCCGUG
rnacentral:rRNA from 1 species